CAAAUAGUGCUCCGAGUGUCCAAGAGGUACGCGCGAUGCACGCUCCAAACGCAGAAUAGCUGUGGAAAGAAACGGGAAAGAACAUCUCGUCAUUAAAUAAAAAAUAGGUGUUGAAACUCUGAUUGCAUUACUCUGACAACAUAAUAUGGAAAAAUAAACAUACCCCACUGCUCCCUAUUCAACAGGUAAAUGAAUUGCCCUCCAACUCAUAACAAGGCAAAAAGGAGUAGCAGAUGUGUACGUCCCGCACGUGUGACUCCUGUAAGUAAAUCACAACGUGGGCUGGUUGAUUGCGAAGUGCCACGCAUGCAAGGGGCGUGCCCGGCUUCGGAACGCCGUGCCCGGAUCGCCAUCGGCCGUGCUCAGCCAGAAGAGCGAGCAGCUGCACGGGCCAGUCCUGCACCCGUGCGCCACAGGGACUCAGAUCCAGGCCCAACACGCCCAAGCCAGGCGGGGCCCCGGGGACACCCGGCCCGGCCCGGCCCGGCCCGGCCCGGGGCACCUCAGCAGCUGCUGGGGGCGCCCGGCACCGGCUCCUGACACACGCACCCGCGACUACAACUCCCGGCAUGCACCAGGGUAGACGGGCAGCCUCGCGCUGGCUGGUCGCGCUGCAUGCCGGGUCUCGUAGUUCCAGGAAUCCAGGAGCGGCAAAUCUACGGUACCACCCGCUCCCGCCGGCGGGACCCCCACUCACCAGAGC